GAGGUUACAUGUUAAUUUUAUCAUCCUUACGUAUUUCCUUGCCGUCAUCGGCUAAUUCCCAAGUAUCUAGAUGGAAGUUUGUAUAGACUCAGUACAGUCUGCGUUAAAUGCCGAAAAAGGAGGUGCCUUUCGUGUUGAACUGUGCUCCAAUCUGAUGGAAGGUGGAACCACACCAUCUCUAGGAAUGUUUAGAAUUAUCAAGCAAAGAUCACCAAUUCCAGUGUUUGUAAUGAUAAGACCAAGAGGAGGUGACUUUCUUUACACUGAAGAUGAGUUUGAAGUUAUGAAGGAAGACGUCAAGGUAUUCAAGGAAGCUGGGGCAGAUGGAGUCGUGUUUGGCAUCCUUACAAGCGAAGGUGCAGUGGACACUGUGAGAUGUGAAGAACUUAGAGAUUUAGCAAGUCCACUUCCAGCUACUUUCCAUAGAGCUUUUGACAUGCUCAAAGAUCCUUACACUUCUUUAGAGGUUAUUAUUAAGUUAGGCUUUGAGCGUAUUUUAACCAGUGGACAAGAUUCUUCAGCACUGGAAGGAUUACCAACAAUAACACAUCUAAUUGAAAAGGCAAAAGACAGAAUCACUAUUGUUCCAGAUACUUUAUGUGGCUUGACGCAGCAGACGGGUGGACUUUUGAGAGACCGGACUUUAUUCCCGCAUGUACUCGUGCCGUGAAAGACAUCGGAUCUUAUUACGCGAGAUAUUCCUCAGUUUUGUCUGAGAAGCCUGUUUAUCUGAUCAAGUGGCGAGGUUGGGGGUCCGAACACAACACGUUCGAGUCAGAAUCGCACAUUUGGAUAACGAUCUUUCAAGCUAUUUCAGAAAUCCAUCUCCCCCACAGGACGUGCUUUUGCUGAGAACUUCGAGAGACUGAAAAGUACCAUCGAGAGUGCACUUUGCAGCCCCAAAGGGUCACUCAGGGUGUAACUUUCACUGAUCUGAUGACAGCUGUUGUUUGCAAUUGAAGUAGAUGUACAGGAAUUUCAACAACCUGAGGACAGCAGUAAUUCCUAUGUGGAAAGAGCUUGUGAUGCUUCUGCAAUAGAAUUUUUAACAGCAUUCUUAGCCACUAGACUCUUUCCCUGUUCCCAAUAGAUGUCCCUCUUUUGGUAACUUCUAUGUUUACGGGAACAUCCCUCAUGCUCCAAAACCUCUAUCCCUUUUUCUACCAGAAAAAUCUGGCAACAACUAUCCCAUUGAGCACACUUUCUUUGAAAGUAUUAAUACAUGUCAUCAUUUUUCUUCUCCACACCUGCAAAAUGACAGAGAAAUAAAGAGGACAGAUUGAAAAAUAUUGAUUACCAGUGGAUUAAAAGUGUGGCACUUACAUUGUACAUGUUAAUGAAACUUGUAAUCCUUGAAUACAGGUAUUUUCGCAUGGCGUAUGUAGUAGAGAUGUAGCUAUACUAUGAUAUGCAUACCCUGGCCAGUAAAUGACUUGACAGAUCCCAUUUCUUGCAGUAAAUCAGGAAGGUGGCAUAACAUAAUGUGUAUGUAAGGUGUUAUGGGAUUUGCUUUGGCUUAUUCAGGCCCUCUAAUUUCAAACUGCAAAGCAGAAGAGCCCAUUCUUUUACCCACAGGAAAUAGAAUAAAUAUAUAUAACUACAUAGAAAUAAAUAUUUCAGUCAGAAUGUUUAAUUGCAGCUGGCACUGAAAGUAGACUGUCUGAAUAUAUUGAUGACCAUAUUAUUACUUAGCUUGGGAAAUCCAGGCCAUCUUUCUGAGACGGACUCCAACUUCCAAAUAUGUCAUAAAGUUCUUUGAAAUCCUGUACAUAAUAAACAGAUGCAAUAUUUCAAAAAAUAAAUAAACAAAUAACGAUAAAAAAGCAGGUAACAAAUUGAAAUUCAUGCAAGAUUUAGAAGCAAAUCAACUCAAAACAGUAUAAUUGUACUUAAUUUCCACAAUUUGGUCAGCUGUUCACAAACCUCAGGAGGUAGAAAGGAGAAGAAUUUAGAGGGGAGGCUUCUUCACAGUUUCUUCUUUUCAUUUCACAUAAGAGAUGUCCAGUCUAAAUUUCCUUGUUUGACUGUCCAAAUUGACAGAGAUACACCACACUCUCUAACAGCUUCAAGGAAUGUUUUCAGAUGUAUUCCCCUUUGCUCUUUGCUUAAUUUCUUGAAAUCAUCUUUCUAAGUAGCAACAAGAUCUAUUCUUUAUGUUCAUAAUAAAUGAACAAGAAAUUAAAGCAGACUGCUGUUGUUCAAAUUUGCUUUAAUUUACAUUGUAGACUUUACACUACUGGCAAGUCUUUUUUAUCUUUAAUUCAUUUACCUCAUCCCAGCUAAUAACUUCAUGGAUAAUGCCCUUCUCUAGAAUAUCUGUAAUCUGCAAAACCAUGUGGAGCUCAUCAAUCAUGAAUCUUUCAAGUGGUACGUCAAAAAGAGGCGGUGUGCUGCAUCCAGGAUCCUUAUACCAUCCAGGGUUUAAAUUGUGUUUCAGUUUCAAGAAAAAAGUCAAAGGCUUGGUGAAGUCAUUCCUAUAAAAUAAUAAAAUUUAAAUAUGAGUGUUGCAGUUGUUGAGGCCCAUAUGGUAAUUGUGUGUAUGGCUACAUCCAAUGAUUGAGAAUUUAUUGUGUAAGUAAGUAUUUACUGAUACAGUUGUAUUUAGUUUUUGUUGUUAUGUAAAUCAUCAUUUUAAGUAAAUUAUG